CCUCUGAAUCUUGCUUUAGCACAGCGGGUCGUGUUCUUGAUCCUUUCCGAAGUAGUUUAUCUCCAAUGAUGGUUGAGGGCCUCAUUUGUACACAAAAUUGGCUUCGUUCUUCAUCUACUUCAAUCAGCCUUAGGACUAUAAUGGAUGAUGUGGAAGAUUUUGAGAGGCAGUUGGAUAUGGCACUUGCUCAGGAGGGUGAAAAUUCUAUGGAGGCGUCAAAUACAAUGUCUACAUCUAAUGCAAAUUCAUGAGCAUUUCGUUUGGUGGUGAAAGCUUUGAUGGGAUCAAGUGUUUGCCGUUUAGAGAUCAUAUCUUAGUUAUUUGUUAUUUGUAUUAGUUAUUAUUUAGUCACUUGUAAUUCGUAAUAUCACUUUAUUAGUUAUUAUGGCUAGAAGCCUAGAUGCAUGGAUUGUAAAUUGUAAUAUUUUUUAUGUCCUUUGCUUAACUUUUUUUGGUUUCUUAUUUUUUUUCCCUUUUAUUUGGACUUUUGGA